rnacentral:rRNA from 1 species
UACAGAGGGGGCAAGCGUUGUUCGGAAUUACUGGGCGUAAAGGGCGCGUAGGCGGCCUGCUAAGUCGAACGUGAAAUCCCUGGGCUCAACCCAGGAACUGCGUCCGAUAUCGUUGGUGCUUGAAUCCGGGAGAGGGAUGUGGAAUUCCAGGUGUAGCGGUGAAAUGCGUAGAUAUCUGGAGGAACACCGGUGGCGAAGGCGACAUCCUGGACCGGCAUUGACGCUGAGGCGCGAAAGCCAGGGGAGCAAAGCGGG